rnacentral:rRNA from 1 species
GACGUAGGGCGCAAGCGUUGUUCGGAAUUACUGGGCGUAAAGGGCUCGUAGGCGGCCAACUAAGUCAGACGUGAAAUCCCUCGGCUUAACCGGGGAACUGCGUCUGAUACUGGAUGGCUUGAGAUUGGGAGAGGGAUGCGGAAUUCCAGGUGUAGCGGUGAAAUGCGUAGAUAUCUGGAGGAACACCGGUGGCGAAGGCGGCAUCCUGGACCAUUACUGACACUGAAAAGCGAAAGCCAGGGGAGCAAACGGG